CUCACAGUUGCCAACCCUGGUGAUGCAGAAGCCCUGGGAGGACUUAACCAGGGAGUGAGUGAACAGCAGCGUUCCAGAUAGAAGCUGCCUCGGUAGCCUGGGUCCUGGAGUGACAAUGACGUGGAGCAAAUCCACAGCCACGACAAGACGAACACGAAGCAUGAGCACGAGUGAGCGUCUGUUUUGGACACGGCGCCCGCGGAGGAAGGACUGUGUCGUCAUCGAUCAGAGCUUCCUGCACUCAGCCUGCAGCGCGCCUCCUGACGCAGCCUGG